GAUGAACGCUGGCGGCGUGCCUAAUACAUGCAAGUCGAGCGAACGGACGAGAAGCUUGCUUUUCUGAUGUUAGCGGCGGACGGGUGAGUAACACGUGGAUAACCUACCUAUAAGACUGGGAUAACUUCGGGAAACCGGAGCUAAUACCGGAUAAUAAUUUUGAACCGCAUGGUUCAAAAGUGAAAGACGGUCUUGCUGUCACUUAUAGAUGGAUCCGCGCUGCAUUAGCUAGUUGGUAAGGUAACGGCUUACCAAGGCAACGAUGCAUAGCCGACCUGAGAGGGUGAUCGGCCACACUGGAACUGAGACACGGUCCAGACUCCUACGGGAGGCAGCAGUAGGGAAUCUUCCGCAAUGGGCGAAAGCCUGACGGAGCAACGCCGCGUGAGUGAUGAAGGUCUUCGGAUCGUAAAACUCUGUUAUUAGGGAAGAACAUAUGUGUAAGUAACUGUGCACAUCUUGACGGUACCUAAUCAGAAAGCCACGGCUAACUACGUG
rnacentral:rRNA from 1 species